GCUACGUGAGAUUUGAACAAAAUUAUAUAAAAUCAGUGAAACAUCCAAAAGAUAUAAAACCAUUACGUAUUAAAGGAUUUUGUAAAAUUACCCUUUUUUUUUUUUUUUUGAAUAUAUUAUCAACGCGAAUUAAGAAACAUUUAAAAUGUUAUUGUAGGGUUAAAAAUAGAAUGAUGAAGAUCUCGAUUUAUCAAUUGCCUCAAAUUAUCUCAAUGUAUACAGAAAUAUGUAAUGUAUUUAAAAAAUAAGAGAGGACAAAAAAAAUUUUUAUAAAAACGAUUGAAACCAGUCAUUUUUUGUAUUGAUUGGUAAUUCUAGUGUUAAAGUUUUUACCUUAGAAAUCUGAAUAUCCUACAUACACAUAAUAAACUUAUAUUGUAGUCUCAUAAAGUGGAAAUGGAAUUGUGCGCAAAGUAUUGUCUAGAGGCGGUUAAAUAUGAAACUGAAUUAUAUAACUAUUUUAGACAUACAUAAAAGAGUAGGAUAGCAGAAUUUUUUCAUCUUUUAAUAAUACUACAAUAUAUUCUAACAAUGGAAGAGAAAAAUUGUUAAAAAUUUUUAAGAAUAUAUUAAAUUAAUCAAUUUUUGAUUGCUUUAACCUCUACAUAGCGUGUGUUAGGACAUGAGUUACCAUCCCCACUUUAUUUCAUUUAGGGAAUUGUCGCGCAUACGCAUAACGAACAAAGUUUUUUGCCAACAGAGAAAAUAAUAUCAUUUAUACCGUGAUAUUUUCAGCCUUUUCCCGAUUUAAUUGGUAAUGUAGUCUUCUUAUUACAUAUAUGGAAUCUCUAUUGCAAUAAUCGAAAUAAAAUUAUAUCGAUAAUCAAAAUCUCAUUCGAGAUACAGCAAACAGAAGAAUCGAUAAUACAAAAUGGCUUCUUGUUAAAGAAUGAACGUAUGCGUAUUAUCAAGUGCAGUGAUUCCAUAAUAUUUUCAUUAUUUAUAAUUUAUAUAAUAUCAACAUGGGCUCAUCAGAUAUAGAAGGUUUAGAUUCAAAAAGAGAAAUCGUUGGCAUAGACUCAGAAUCAGAUAUGCUUGGUGAUCAAAGGAAAAAGAAGAAAAGAAAACACAAGCACCACAAACAUAAAAAGGAUAGAGUGAUAGAGAAAGAAGAUGGAAGGAUAGAUAGGCAAGAAAGGAAAAAGCACAAGAAACAUAAAAGACCGCGUAAAGAGAAAGAAAUUGAAAAUGGUUCAUUGGAUGAGAAAGCACCAUCUCGUAUUAAUCAGAAAGAAAUUGGUCUUAAUGGCAAGGUCAAAAAUUCAUUAUUAGAAAUAGUUUCUACAGAAGAAAGCGAAGAUGAGAAAUUAAUAGAUCUUGAUUCUGAUGAGGUAGAUUGUACUAUUAUUGAAGAUGAUAUUGAUUUGGAAGAAUUAAUGAAACAGAAGGAGCGAUUACAAGCAUGUUUAGUUCAAUAUUUGUCAGAUGAGUCGGAAAAGGAAGAUAAGGAACCGGAAGAGGAGGAGGAGGAGGAAGAAGAAGAAGAAGGAGGAGAGGAGGAUGAAGAAACAAAGGCAGAAACUCCAGAUGUAAUACUCGUAGAAGAUGAUAGUGAAGAUGACAAUAUACUCCAUAAAAAACGACCUAGAAGUAAGUCAGGAAGUAGGGAACGUAAAAAAAUAUCGAAACCUGAAAGACGCGUUGUAGUUGAUAUGAGUAGAGAUCGAAGAACCAGAGAGGACCACAAAGAUAAGAGAAGAGAUUCUGACAGAAGAAGAGAGGAUAAGACUCGGCCAAGAGAAGAAAUAAAAAGGGAUGAUGUGAGAAGGGAUGAGAAACGAAAAGCUAAUGAAAGGCAUAAGGAAGAUUCGAGAAAAGAGGAUUCUAGAAAAAGGAUAGAAGAAGAGAAACGUAAAGAUACUACUAGUAGUAGAAGGGAUGAAUCGCGCAAAAGAGAGCACGAUCGAAGGGAGGAGGAACGAGUGGACAGAAAACGAGAUUUGAGUCGACAUUUAUCUAGAUCUCAUAACGAUUCUAAGUGUCAAGAUGCUAAAGUGGAUAUUAAACAUAUUUCAUCGAGGCGUGAUAGUCGUGAUAGAGGAGACAAUCGGGACCGUCAAAGUAGUCGAGAUCGACAAUCAAGCCGAGAUCGACAUACUAGUCGCGAUCGUUAUAAUCGAGACAGACCAUUAAGUAAAGAUCGUCAUUCCAGUCGUGAUAAAAGAGAUAGCAGAGAACGACAUACUAGUCGAGAUCGUCAUGCCAACAGGGAUAGGCAAGCCAGUCGUGAUCGUAUGGACACAAGGGAUCGCCGCGAUAGUCGGAAUCAUGAGAAGAUUAGAGAACGAUCUAGAAGUACGAGAAGAUCUCGUAGUCCCAUUAGAAAUAGAAUGGACAGAGAUCGCAACGAUCGUUAUAAAAGAUCGCGUUCUUUAUCUCGAAGUCGAAGGGGUAGGGAAAAACACAUACGAGAUCAUGAAAGGGAUAGAGAGAAGAAUGGUAAAAAGGAAAGAAGUGAUAAGUACAAAGACUCUUUGUCGGAAGGCCUAAAAGUCGAACGUUUUGACAGUUCUAGCGAAGAAGAUAUCAAGGAUAUUGACAUUGAGGAAGAGGAAGAUGAGGAAGCUAUUAUUGAACGUAGGAGAAAACAGAGAGGAGAGUUACUCAAGCGAUUAAGUGGACCAUAUGAAGAUUCAAAUAUGUCUGCUGAUGUAACAGCUGUCACUGGAACUCCUCCGUCUGAAAGUCAUUCGAAUACAUCUCAAAAAUCACCAGAGAUACCUUCAAACAAUAAUGAAUCUACUUCUGAAAGCCAUACUCCGCCACUGCCUGAAAAACCAAAGUCACCACAGCCAGUUAAGAAAAGAAAGUCUAGAUUUGAGGAUGCAUUACCUGAAGAAUCUGAGAAGCCUGAAAACAUACAAAAUGCAGAGAAAGUUAAGCAAGAUGAAAAACAAAGUACAAAGAAAACGAAUGAAUGGGAUAUGUUUGCUGAAGCGGAUAAUAUCGGUGAUUUUAAUAGUCCUACCGUUGAAGGAAAACGUUUAGGUGGUCCUGACAACCCUAGUUUAACAGAUAAUUGGGAUGAUGCGGAAGGAUAUUAUCGCGUUCGGGUUGGUGAGACUUUAGAUUCGCGAUAUGUUGUUUAUGGUUAUACAGGACAAGGGGUUUUUAGCAAUGUCGUAAGGGCUAGAGACAGUGCUCGAGGCAAUUUAGAUGUUGCGGUGAAAAUAAUCCGGAACAAUGAAAUUAUGCAUCGUACUGGUCUCAAAGAACUAGAAAUACUUCGGAAACUUAACGAUGCAGAUCCAGAGGACCGAUUUCAUUGUUUGAGAUUAUUUAGGCAUUUCUUUCAUAAAAAUCAUUUAUGUAUGGUAUUUGAACCAUUAGCUAUGAAUUUAAGAGAGGUAUUGAAAAAAUAUGGUAAAGAUGUUGGUCUGCAUGUCAAAGCAGUCAGGUCGUAUACACAACAGCUUUUCCUUGCAUUAAAAUUAUUAAAACGAGCAAAUAUUUUACACGCUGACAUUAAACCAGAUAAUAUUCUAGUCAGUGAAAGUAAACUGGUAUUGAAACUUUGUGAUUUUGGUUCUGCCUCUCACGCUCAUGAAAAUGAGAUAACACCAUAUCUUGUAUCAAGAUUUUAUCGUGCUCCUGAAAUUAUUCUUGGUAUACCAUAUGAUUUUGGCAUUGACAUGUGGUCCGUUGGAUGCACAAUAUAUGAAUUAUACACUGGAAAAAUAAUGUUUUCGGGAAAAACAAACAAUCAGAUGUUAAAGUUUUUCAUGGAUCUAAAGGGCAAGAUGCCUAAUAAACUAAUAAGGAAAGGAACCUUCAAGGAUCAACAUUUUGACUCUAACUGCAAUUUUCUUUAUCAUGAGGUUGAUAAAGUUACUGAGCGGGAAAAAAUCGUCGUAAUGUCCACUCUUCCGGCAACUCGUGAUCUUAAUGCAGAACUUGGUGGGAAUUCAUUACCACCCGAACAAAGUCGGAAAGUUGGUCAGCUGAAAGAUCUGCUAGAACGCACGUUGAUGUUGGAUGCAGGGAAAAGAAUCACUGUGAACCAUGCUCUGGCACACCCUUUUAUACAAGAAAAAAUUUAGGUAACCCUGCCUAGGGUCCUUGUACAACAGAAAAAUUAUUAACGUAAAUUUGUGAAUUUGAAAUGAGACACCGCUAACGAUAAUCCGCAUUCACCGAAUAUUAUCAAAUAUUAAAUACGGAUAUUGCUAGCCAAAAUGGUGUCUGUCUUACAUGAACUGUCUGUAUUGGUUUUAGCAGAAAGAGGCGGCGCAUAGUUUCAAGUGUAACUCAAUCAAGACAACGAAGAGCAUAAAGCAGUAAAUAUUUAUAAUGCAUGUAUCAUCGUAUUGCAACGUUGUACUCUAUCAAUCUGAAAUAACGUAUUAAUUAGGUUGUUAAGAACUAUUACAGGUCAAUAGAGUGCAAUAUUUUUUAUAAGACAUAAUCAAUUUUCGUAAGGAAGUAAAUUACUUCCUAAUAUCUGUUGUAUAAGCAAUUUUAGCGGGAACAUAGAAUUUUACUAUUUAAACGUAUUCACAGAAUUUCAUGACGUAUUACUUAAAUACGUAAUUAGGUUAUAUGCCUUUUUAUUUUUGUCUUCAAGUAAUAAUCAUUGUGAAUUCAAAAGUAAUGAGCUCACGUUAAAAAGAAAAAGAAAAGGGAAAAAAGAAAAAAAUGAUAUAUUCUUAUCAAUCUUAUAAAUACUUGGUACCUAAAAGUAACGUUGUUCUUAGGUGAAUGAGUCAGACUGGAAAAAGUGACCGCCUCUUUCAGCAUGAACUGGCCAUCGAUACUUAGCAUUAUGGUGAUGAAUCUUCAAUUCGAAUCAUCUUUAUGUGCAAGCGGACCUUUCAAGGGCCUUUAGUGCUGAUCCCGUUGCAAGCCCUCCCUGUGAGGAGGGGAGGCAACGGAAGAGAUCAGAUGCUGAGAAGGAAUGAUGAAAGGUGUCCCAAAGGAAUGGUAAAAACAACGCAUAGAUACUCUCUGCUCCGUCUCAUCAAACCUGCUUAAACAAGAUAUCAUCGUCGAGUCAUCAAAGAAUGGAUCAUCAAAGAUUGAACUAAUUAUGAGCCAAUAUACAAGGUUUGUCUUAAAGACUUAUCAAGAAGAGCAAAACUGUAAGUAUGUAUGCAGGUAAAGUAUAUAUCGUAAAAAUGUUAAAAAUAAAAAAUUAUAGAGAUAUAGCGUUUUUACAAUUCAUUAUUUUUAUAAUAUGAUAAGCAAUAAUGAAGAUUUUAAUAUAUAUUCUAAUCAUUAUGACUUUGAGUUUUCAGAUAAUUAAUUAAAGAUCUCAAAAGAGUAUAACAAUACAUAUAAUACUGAAGAAACAUACAAUGAAAGAUAUUAUGUGUUAACAUACGUAUGUACUUUUAAUAAAACUUAUAAUAUACAAUAAAUAUAUUAGUAUAAUACAAUCACAGCGAGAUGUUGAAAUUUUGGUAUAAUGAAAUAUUAUCUAUUAAUUUUGUGUAAGAAAUGUAAUAACGCAAAAAUAUAGUUUAUAUAUUAUACGAUUUAAAAAUUGUUCUUUCAUUAUCUUAAUAUCGUCAUAGAUAAGUAAUCACGAAGGACCAAUCGAUAAAAUAAACUAAAGGAAGAAAACGGAGCUUGGUAUAAUAUUUAGAACAAUCUUUCUUUAUUUUCAUUUCUAUCAAUGCCGCAUUAUAAAACAUAAUUUGUAAGAGAUAUGUAUAGUACAUAUAUGUAUAUAUAUAUAUAUAUACUAUACAAACAUACGCACGCACACACACACACACACACACGAUUGGAGUCUUUGGUAUAAGUACAAC